GUUGAUCAAUACUAAUUAAAUAAUCCUAUUAAUAUAUUAGAACUUAUAAUAUAUUAAUAAACCAUAAGUGUUAUUUCUUUCAUUUUAGUCUAUCCAAAUGCAUGAUGCUAUGCAACCCAAAUAGACCAUGCUGAUCGGGUCAAGUACCUCCCAGAAUAGUUAUGAACUUAGACACCUAAUCCAAUAGUCUCCUACUUGGAUAAGUCUAAUAACUAUAUCUGCAAGAAUAACUUUAGGAACCGAUCAACAAUUGUAGCUCUUUCAAGGUCUCGCGGAAUUGAGAUGACGAUGAUAUUCCAUUUAAGAUAAGUGAUCAUAUAAUCCGGUGUUCUAGAUAUCAACCGGAAAAAUACAUGGAACAAUGUUUUACUUAUUGUCCAGCAGUUUGUUUUCCGAUUUCCGAUUUGUUUGACAUAGAACUUAAGUGAACAGAUCAACUUAGUUCUGAUCGGGCCCAAUACAUGGGUAAUCACAAAAUCAUCGACGGGCCUAGAUAUCUCUUGUAAUCCAAGAAGGAACAGAUAAACUUCGACUCACAUGGUUGUUCUUCUACUCGUUGAAUCAUACACAAAGGCACGUUUUAUAGCAUCGAGUUACCAAUGCAUUUUCGUACGAUCAACGCAUAGUCAACUCAUAUACAACAAGUCAUAUCUCUAGGUUUGAAGACUUAUAUGAUAUUACCGUCUCACGAUCACUCGAGAUAAAUUCCAUGAAGUGAUACCAGUGAGCGUGGGUUGAAUCCAAUACUCAGAACUUAUGAGCACUCAUGAGUGUUGUAGCACCACUUUGUGCAACAUCUUAGACCUCUACAAUCCAAUCCAUGACAGUCUUGAUUCAUAUCUACUUCCAACAUAUUACCGACUAUGGAUGGUUUGAAUAACGUAAUCAUUCAGGAAGAGCGACUUAGUUAUUCUGGAAGUCAAAACAUGCAAUGUGAAACACAAGAAUAACCGAAUCCAAUAUGGUCUCAGAACUUAUGAAUAUAAAUAAAACAUCUUUUAUUUGUCACCAUAUUGAUUACCCAUCAUUCAUUGCAUACUGUUUCAAACUAUCAACUCUAUACUUGAACUAAAAACAAUAGUUGUCCCAUGCUCCAAGCAUGUACACUAUGUUUUUCUAAACACUAGUCAUGCUUACACCAAGUAUGCACACUAUGUUUUUUUUUCUAUGAUCUUUACUCUGUGAAAUAGAUCAAUUGAACAUAAUUCCAGUGAUACUCAUUUCACAAUCCCAAAUCCUUACCGCAAAUGCAAGAAUUCCAAAUUCCUGCCAUUUACCUAAAUCUGUUAGAUUCUAAACUUAUAUGCAUUGGUCCUCUUGUAAUGAUUAUGCACAAAGUCACAAAGACUUGUCAACAGACAUUACAGAGUAUUCCAAUGGAGAUCAACUCCAUGGAAAUGAAGUCUUAUAUUCAAAGUUCAUUGCCUUUGAACAUUCUUCUUGCAUUAAGUUUCCUAAUCUUACACAGAUUUAAUAAAUACCUUCCACCUAUGGGAACAUUUCCAAAUUCCCCUUUUGACUAUUACCCCUGAACAAGAGUUGCCUCUUUCCAGAAUAUGCCAAUAUGGUCCUUCCAAAAUUAACACUAUACUUCCAACUAUCAUUGAGCAACCAAUCUUUGGUAAACCUUAGAUUGUCCUCAACAAUUGCUUAGUCAACUUAGUCAUAUCUGGUUCUAGUACUUUUCCCUCUUAAUGCUCUGAGCAUUUGGAAAAUUUAGAACAGAUAAAUCUUAUAGCGCAUGCAAUCGAUCCUAUAUCCGAAGCAUAUGGGACACAAUUGAUAAAGACAUGAUACUAGAACAGUCUUUUGCUAUAACAUUUCUAUUUCUAUUUUCGAAGUUCUCAUAAUUCAGAUUAUGAAAAGGGAUGCCGUAAUCAUAAUUGAAUUAUAGAACCCAAAUAAUAGACCCAAAUAUAGAAUUUCCUUAUGCUGAUCCAUUCCAACAUGAAAUUCAUAUAUAUAUCCUUGACUAAAUAUGAUUAAAACCUCAAUCGAAGCUUUUAAAAUUGAAGUGAAGUAUAAUUUCGUCUCCCUUAAUUAUAGCAAAACAACAUUUUCCCAAUUGAAACCUUUUGUUUUCUAUAAUUAACAUUGCUAACUUGCAACACUUAUUAUAAUUAUCAUGCUCCCACUUGCAUGAUGCUUAUUGGUAUGAAGCUUAUGCUCCCACUAGCUUUGAUAUUUACUUAGAAAUCUGCUGGACUUCUAAAUAUCAGUACUUUAUUGACCUUCUUAUCGAAGUUCAUAUUUCUGAUACGAGAUGCUUUUGACAAAACUUUAUCAAAAUCAUACACCUUUCCUUAGAUAACACACAUGUGUGUCUAAACAAUUUCAGAACUAUGAAAACGGAUGUCGUAAUCAUAAUCUCAAUUGUUUAGACCAUUGUCAUUUCUCACAAGUCCAUGUUAGUGUGAUGGUUAACCACACAUGCUCCACUAACGACUUUGAGAAUGUAAAUAUCACAACUGCUAUCCGGUUAAAAUCUACUUAGUGAAAGUGUUUCCUCACCAUCAUUUUCAUGAAUAAGAGAGAAACCUUAUGACACAUAGAUUUUAUGGUGUAUUUGUUCCUAUCCAUGUGAAUUUGUCAAAACCAUAAUCACAAGACAAGGUUAUUGACAAAUCCAAACUCUUAUGGAUGGAACUUGUGCAGUCUUAGCUUCUUGCCACUUGGCAGCAUAAGGGUCUGCCAUUGCUUCCAAGCUGUUAUGCAACCAACUGAGAACUCUCAGAACUCAUAUGCAAAGCCAACUUUAAAUGGAAUGGGCACAGAAAUUGGAAUAUGUCAACACGAUAGGUUAUAAACCUUAAGUCGUGUGUUAGUGAUAAACUAUAGGUUUUUCCUUCUUGAUUAGAUCUGGAAGUAUUUCCAAGAUCUUUAAGACUCCCACUUCCUUCUUGAUAUGUAAGACUCACUUGCCAAAUAUUCAAGAGAUAGUGUAGAUUCUUAAUCAAGACAAACACUUCACACAAUUGGCCUUAAGUUGGUCUCUGUUUUAUCCAAAACAUCACAACUUACAAAUUUCAAAUGUACAAGAAUGGGACACACUUCACUCUUACAUUUGACUAGUGUUAUAAACCUUUCUUUAAGAGAUGUCACUCAAGUUACAAUCUUGGUGUAUGACUCUUAGAAUUGUUUUUGGAACGAGUAUGACUCAUCUUCUUGAUUUAACCAUUUCAGCAAUUCUUGAUUCCUCUUCUUAGCCAUAUGAAUGCUCUAAGAUGUCUUUAGAGGACCAAUUGUGACAUGGUUUCUUAAUCAUUAAGAUGAACACAAAACAUGAUCCUAAAGUACUCUCCCAUCUUUUCAGAUUUGAGAAACUAUUAUCCUUCUGCCUAAUUUGAUUCUUCUCAUCCGUCCUGCCAUACACUGAAUUUUCUUUCAAUGUUUCAGAAUUAAACUUAAACUUGUAAGUAUAACCAUAUUUACUAAACCUUAGUAAAUCAUGAAGAAUAGUCUUAUUAACAUUUUGUGGUGAACCUUGAUCAGUGCACAAGAAUGUGUACUUGAUCCCUUAGUCCUUCACUUGACUCAAAUAUACAUGUGAACAAGGAACUAGUCUUAAUUUUCCAAAGCUGAAAUUUCUCAUUCAUCAUACUAUAAAUAUUGUAUGAUUCCAAGUUUCUAUCCAACUGAAAACUUAGGUGAUGAGAAGCUUUCCUUAUUUGGUAAAUUUAGACACUACUACAAACGAAAGAAUCAAAUCCACAUUUCCAUUAUUGCUAUAAAUAUAUAAAGAUCAAUUUUUCAAUAAAAGUCAUUGCAAGGAGAUAUAAACUAAAAUAAAAUCAAGAUUUUAUUUAUUUAUAAAAAAUGCGGAAAAAGUUUUCCUUAAAAUGCAACUUGAAAUGAAAACUAUGCUAUUACAUGUUUUCUAGCAAUCUAUCAUAACCCUAAGUAGUAGCUCAAAAAUCUGAUCUUCAACCUUGCGAUAGAAAUCCAUCUUCGCGAUCAUAUUCAACAUACUCUUUCUUUAAGUUUCUUUUCCUUUGCUUGAUCCUGCCAAACAUCAAAAUGUAACUUAGUCACAUUAUGUAUUGAUAAUCAACAAUUAGGAACUUAACAGAGUUAGAUAGUGGACUUACCUGAAUCAGAGUCAAACUUUUUGAUUCCUUUCAGAUCCUUCAGGUAGCUAGGACAGCUUCACUUCCAAUGCCCUUUUUCUUCACAAUGAAAGCAUAUAGACUCUUCUGGAACGUUUCCGCCAUUCUUGGUUUUGGGGUGUGACAGAUUGGUAUCAGAGCAUUGUUUAUAGUGAAUUGAGUAUAUCAACCCAUAAAAGAUAUACUAAACUAUAAACCCAUUGGGGAUUAAACUCUGACCAAGAGUCUAUACUUAAAAUAAUAAAAUAUUUAACUAAGUAUACUAGUCUGCAUUCAUACUAAAAUAAGUGUCACAAUGACAAGAACAAAAGUAUUACGAUUGUUAAAUAUCACAAGUGAGCUCGGGGAUGUAUGGUCAGUCCUGGGAAUGGCAUAGCCUGAUCAACUAUGCUGAUCCUAGGAGUGAUUAGCACAUGCCUUAGAAUGGUUGUGAUAGGUUAGCAAGUCUAAAAACUUACCAACAAUACCACAAGAAGAUCAAUAGAACUUAAACUUAAAAUACUAUAGGAGUAUUUUGCGCUACUAGUUACACGUAUACUAUAUUCUUAUACCUCUAUUCUCGCGUAGAUCUUGAUGGCUAGAUAUCCAUCAUGGCGACCCGUACUUUCCCAAUGAAGGCAAUGCCGGGUGGAUCGAUGAAGAGCCCGAAGUUGAUCAUCCAAUCCCUUUGGAUGAUCACCUCGCAGAAGGCUUUUCAGAUGGGUCCGACUCCGAGCCUGAAGUCAACAACCUACCGAUUGUAGGUCAAGCCCCGAACAACAACCCUCGACCAGCGUUUCCAGGUCCUACACCCAUGUGGGCAAACAACCGAACCGCUGGAGUGAUGAUCAGGGUCAACCCUUACCAUACUUUGGGGACCGAACCUUUUACAACGUCAGCGAUGGUGGCUCUACUGACCGAGCUCUGCCUGUCAUUAUCCGCAGAAUAGCUCGUAUUGUCGAGCAAGGUGGAGCAGCCGUCGACCGGGUCAUAGAGAUUGAUGCCGACUCAGGUGUCAACACAGUCAGCAUCCGCCGUCUUGAAGAAGACAUGGAACGGACCCGGAGGACAAAUAAAACCCUGCAGUAGCAGUUGGCUGCCUCACGAGCUGAAAUAUUGGAACUUCGAGCUCGUCAGAGGACUCAGGAUCGACCCAUUCAAGAGGUGUUUCGUCAAGUAUCCGACCGCAGUACUCGCCCGGGAUUUUCCCAUCGCCGUUGGUUGAUGUCUAGUACAGCUCCGUCUUUUAAUUAAAGGAUAGCCUUUAACAUCUGUGCUCCAAGUAGCGCUUGUGUGUAAAAUGUUUCUAACUUCCGUACUCAAAUUUGAAAUCUAAGGACUGUCAAACUUUUCUAUAUGGUAUGAUGUAUGACCUACUGUUAGGUCGAUUUUCCCUGAACUUAUUACAUCAGUAAUACCAGUAAAUUUUUGAGAUCUAUCUAUCUGGGGAAAAAUCUAUACACUUGUGCUUUCCUACUAAUAAUGCUUGUUGUGGUUUCAAGCACCCUUUCAACUGUUGGACUAUGUUUAGUUAGUCCAUGUGUCACUCUCGCGUUGCUUACAAAUUGAUUCUUACCAUCUUUCUUAUCUUUUUAAACUUUCAGCUGAAGGAUGCCUCCUCGCAAGUCUCCCAGGAAUAGGAAUAAUCCUGCACCUCCACCACCUCCUCCGCCUCCGGUCAUCGAUACUGUAGCCCUGAAUGCUGUUGUAGCUGCAGCAGUGGCAACUGCCAUGGCUCAGUAUCACUCUUCUGAUGCCAGCAGAGGUGGAACCCCUGUGGAAUCUAUUCCGAUCGAAAUCCCUGUGCGCUCAAGGGAGUGCUCUUACAAGGAUUUUACAAACUGCAAGCCGAAGCCUUUCUAUGGCACCGGCGGAGUCAUUGCUCUCUCGCAGUGGUUCGAGAAGACUGAAUCAGUCUUCGAAAUUUGUUCAUGCCCUGCUGCGUGCAAGGUGAAAUAUGCCGCCUGCACCUUUGAGGGUAAAGCCCUAACGUGGUGGAACGGCCACGUCAAAGCCCUAACUCUCGUCGUAGCCAACGACAUGGGCUGGGAAACAAUGAAAGACCUCAUGACUGAGGAAUACUGCCCGAGGGGCGAGAUCCAGAAACUGGAGCAGGAACUCUGGAACCUGUCGAUGAAGGGCACCAAUGUGGUCGCUUAUACUGCCCGAUUCAGCGAGCUGGUGGCCCUCUGCCCCAAUAUGGUUCCCACCGAGGGGAAGAAGAUCGAGAGGUACAUAUGGGGACUAGUGCCUCCGUAUCAGGGGAAUGUGCUAGCGUCAAACCCCGCUACCUUCGACAGUGCCAAACGAUUGGCACAACGACUCAUUGACCAUGGAGUCAAAACCCCUGCAACCACAACCACCCUAGCCAUCCCGGAACCCUCCAAACCCGCCGAUACUAAGCGGAAAUUCUGGGAUGAAAGGAAGAAGCAUCAGGCUGCCAAAAAGCAGCAAUUGGUGGCAAUUCAUGCCGCAGUAACCCCUACUGCUGCUACUACUGCUCCGGUGAGUCGGUAUGCUGGAAGUUCGCCCAAGUGCAACAAAUGCAGCUACCACCACAACGGCCCCUGCCGUGAAUUGCAGUGCUCUAACUGCAACAGGAAAGGACACACCGUCCGAUUCUGUAAGUUCCCGGCACAACCUAUCAACCAAGUCCCUGGCUCUGGCGCGAGCCCAACCUGCUAUGGAUGUGGCGAAGCAGGCCACUUUAAGAGGGACUGCCCCAAAGCGAGGAAUGCUGGAGGAGCAGGGAGGGUACUGGCUAUAGGCCACGGGGAAGCAGUUGCUGACCCGACAGUAGUAACCGGUACGUUCCUCCUCGAUAACUCCUAUGCAUGCAUUCUAUUCGAUAGUGGAGCGGAGCGAAGCUUCGUAAACCAUAAAUUUGCUCGCAUGCUUAAUCAACCACCGCACGCACUCAAAGAACUAUUUACAGUAGAAAUGGCUAAUGGAAAAACUGAAAAUACGAGUAGCAUAUACUUAGGUUGUACCCUAACCCUAGACAACCAUUCAUUUCCAAUCGACCUCAUGCCAGUCUCAAUAAAAAGUUUCGACGUCAUCAUUGGCAUGGACUGGUUAAGCCUUCAUCGUGCCGACAUCAUGUGCUUCGAGAAAGCAGUCCGUCUAAACCUUCCGUCUAACGAAACUCUUAUAGUCUAUGGCGACAAACCCGGUGCAAGUCUUCGCAUCAUAUCAAGUAUUCAAGCACAGAAAUACCUGCGUAAGGAAUACCACGCAUUCCUUGCUCACGUCGUCGACACGAACCUAGAAACGAAAGAACUAAAGAACCUCCCAGUAGUGAGCGACUUCCCCGACAUUUUCCCAGAAGAACUACCCGGAUUACCUCCGCAACGACAAGUCGAGUUCAGAAUCGACUUAGUCCCAGGAGCUACCCCAGUAGCCAAGUCGCCCUACCGUUUAGCACCAGCCGAGAUGCAAGAACUCUCUGGUCAACUUAACGAACUGCUCAGCAAGGGCUUUAUAAGGCCAAGUUUCUCACCUUGGGGAGCACCGGUCUUGUUUGUUAAGAAGAAGGACGGAUCCUUCCGUAUGUGUAUUGACUACAGAGAACUCAACAAACUGACGGUCAAGAAUCGUUAUCCUCUACCACGCAUAGAUGAUCUAUUCGACCAACUGCAAGGGGCGAACUAUUUUUCUAAGAUUGAUCUGAGAUCCGGAUAUCACCAGUUACGAGUGCUAGAGGAGGAUGUGCCGAAGACCGCCUUCCGAACUCGUUACGGACAUUACGAGUUCGUGGUGAUGCCAUUCGGAUUGACCAAUGCGCCCGCAGUCUUCAUGGAUCUGAUGAAUAGAGUAUGCCGACCCUACUUGGAUCAGUUCGUCAUCGUUUUCAUUGACGACAUCCUAAUCUACUCCCGAAGUAAGAAAGAACAUGGCGAUCAUCUGCGACAAGUUCUAGGGACAUUACGAAAAGAGAAACUUUAUGCGAAGUUCUCGAAAUGUGAAUUUUGGAUCCGAAGAGUCGAAUUCUUAGGACACGUGGUAAGCGAAGAGGGAAUCCACGUGGACCCAUCCAAAAUUAAGGCCAUUGAGAACUGGUCAGCACCGAAGACUCCUACAGAAAUUCGUCAAUUUCUAGGUCUCGCUGGCUACUACCGCAGGUUCAUUCAGAACUUCUCACGAAUAGCGAAGCCUCUUACAACCCUAACCCAGAAAGGUGUGGCCUUUGACUGGGAAGAGAAACAAGAAAGAGCGUUCCAAACGCUCAAACGAGCCUUGUGCACCGCACCAAUACUAUCCCUUCCCGAAGGAAUAGAAGACUUCGUAGUUUAUUGCGAUGCAUCAAACCAAGGACUCGGAUGUGUUCUGAUGCAGCGAGGUAAGGUCAUCGCCUACGCCUCAAGACAAUUGAAGACACACGAGGUUAACUACACGACCCACGAUCUUGAACUAGGAGCAGUAGUGUUUGCUCUGAAGAUCUGGAGACAUUACUUGUAUGGAACGAAGAGCACUAUCUUUACCGACCACAAGAGUUUACAACACAUUUUCGAUCAGAAGGAGCUCAACAUGAGACAACGACGAUGGGUCGAGCUACUCAGUGAUUACGAAUGCGAUAUUCGUUAUCAUCCGGGUAAAGCCAACGUAGUAGCAGACGCCCUAAGUCGGAAGGAAUAUUCUGGUCGCAAAGUCAAGUCAUUAUCGAUAACCAUCCAUUCACACCUGACUAAGCAAAUUCAGGCGGCUCAACUUGAGGCCAUGAAAUCUGAAAAUGUGUCAAGUGAAUCCCUUAGAGGAAUGGACAAGAAUUUAGAAGCCAAGGGUGACGGAGCUUUAUAUUUCAUGAACCGGAUCUGGACACCGAAACAUGGUGGCUUCCGAGACUUGGUCAUGACCGAGGCGCACAACACUCGGUAUUCCGUCCACCCAGGUUCAGAUAAGAUGUAUCUGGAUCUUAAGAAGCUAUACUGGUGGCCUAAUAUGAAAGCAGAGAUUGCUACCUUCGUAAGUAAAUGCCUUACUUGCGCAAAGGUUAAGGUCGAGUACCAGAAGCCCUCUGGUUUAUUGCAGCAACCAGAGAUCCCGGAAUGGAAGUGGGAGCGGAUCACUAUGGAUUUCAUAACCAAGUUGCCCAAGACAACGGGUGGACUUGACACCAUAUGGGUCAUCGUUGAUAGAUUGACCAAGUCUGCACACUUCCUGCCUAUCAAAGAAACCGACAAGAUGGAGAAGCUUACGAGAACAUACAUUAGGGAAAUCGUACGGCUACAUGGUGUACCUAUGUCCAUUAUCUCCGAUAGAGAUAGUAGGUUCACCUCAAGAUUUUGGCAAUCACUACAACAUUCCCUAGGAACGAGGCUGGACAUGAGCACAGCCUACCAUCCUCAGACCGACGGACAGAGUGAGAGGACCAUCCAAACUCUAGAAGAUAUGUUGCGAGCCUGCGUGAUUGACUUUGGGAAGGCAUGGGAUACUCAUUUACCCCUUGUCGAGUUUUCCUAUAAUAACAGUUAUCACACGAGCAUCAAGGCUGCUCCAUUUGAAGCUCUCUACGGCCGUAAGUGCAGAUCCCCUCUGUGCUGGGCUGAGGUGGGUGAUACCCAAUUAGCCAGGGGGCAAACUUCCGACAGUACUCUCACCGGUCCGGAGAUCAUUCGGGAAACAACAGAGAAAAUCGUUCAGAUCCGUGAACGAUUGAAAGCCUCUAGAGACCGACAGAAGAGCUACGCUGAUAAACGAAGGAAACCUUUGGAAUUUCAGGUGGGAGACCGAGUCCUCCUCAAAGUCUCACCCUGGAAGGGCUUGAUACGCUUCGUCAAGCGAGGAAAGCUUAAUCCGAGAUACAUUGGGCCUUUCGAGAUUCUUGCAAGAGUCGGCCCCGUAGCUUACAAACUCGAACUACCAGACGCACUUCGUAACGUACAUUCUACAUUCCACGUAUCUAACUUGAAAAAGUGUCUAUCCGACGAGACUCUUGUAAUCCCACUCGACGAGAUCGAAAUCAACGAGAGCCUCAACUUCGUGGAAGAACCUAUAGAGAUCAUGGACCGUGAGGUCAAGCAGACAAAGCAAAGCCGUAUCCCUAUCGUGAAGGUUCGCUGGAAUGCCAAGCGAGGACCGGAAUUCACUUGGGAACGUGAGGAUCAGAUGAAACUGAAAUACCCUCACCUUUUUGCUUAGUUAUUUGUAAAUUCUAGCUUGCUUAAAAUUCUAAUUUCGGGACGAAAUUCCUUCUAACGGGGGGAUGAUGUGACAACCCGAUAUUUCGAGUCAAUGUAAUGUAAAACCGAUCAAAUUUAGGUCAAAAUGUAACCUUCCUAAAAUCUUAUUCGGAUUAAAUAAAGUAAUAGGAAUCAUAUCAAGGUUUGCGUACAUAAAAAGAACGUCCAAAUCUGACUUCGGAUGAGGAAGUUAUGAAUUUUUGAAGAAAUUCCUUAAUCACGUCAUUUUAAUAAAUAAAUAAUAAAAAUAAUUUCGGAAUUAGCCAACGGAAUCUAAACGAAAGUCGUAGAUCAUGGUCUCACCUUCGCGAGGAUAUAAAGAACGUCAAAAACGGAGUUCGUAUGAGAGAGAUAUGAAUUUUUGAAGUUUAUUUAAAAUAAAUAAAAAUUUAAUUAUAAAUUCCCGGUAAUAUCCGAAGGGGAGUCAUCGGAUUGGACCGAAGUACGCCCUGCGUACCUUCGUACGCCCCGCGUACUGAGAUCGAGGGUCUCGGAUCGUCCACGUCGCACUAUCCGAAGAGUUCUAACCCGUCCGACCCGUCCGAAGCUCCGACCCGUCCGACCCGCUGUCCCGUCCGACCCGCCGUCCCAUCCGACCCGCGUACCCAGCAACCCGUCCCAUCCGAACCGAGGCAGUCGAGGCUUCGGUCAUGCAUGACGUACGCGUACGCGCUGCGUACGAGCGUACGCCCCGCGUUCGGAGGCGGUUCAGCCUUCCUAUAAAUAGGAUGCGAGGCUUUCCGAAAAUGUUGCUCAUUUCUCUCCUCUCUCUCACAACUUUGUCUCGUUUUCCGUGCCCGUUAUAACCCGAAGCUCUGGUCUUUUUGCUCAAGUCCCGAGGGUCGAUUUUACUCCCGAGAUUCCCGAGAAUCCCGAGAAAAAUCCGUUUUCCGAGACGAAACUCUGCCCGGUUUUCCAUCUCGCUUUCUUCAAUCAAUCAAGUGAGUUUCAUACCCCUUAAUCAACCUGUUAAAUAUUCUAAAUGCUUUUAUAUGCUUUCAAAAGGGGGGGAAUACAAGUUAAAUACUUAUAGUUAUUGUUUCAAUCACAUGUGAUUGUACUAAUCACAUGUGAUUAAUAACUAGGGAAAUCAGUGGUUUUAUCACUAUUCAAACUAUCUAUCAAACUGUUUUACUUCUAAAUGUUUUCCAAACCCAUUUACUUUUCGAAUUUACACUGCAACUGUGAUUUAAGCAAAUGUUCCUUAUACUUAAACUGUUUUAAUCAAAUCUACACCUUCAAAUGGUUUUAUAGAUUGACAUCAAGUCAAUCUUUCUUUAAAAAUAAUACUUAUGUUUCAAAUGCCUUAUAAAUACUUAUUUAUGCUUUUAUAUUACAAAUUGCAUGCCCAUAUAUGUAUAGACGUAUAAAUAAUGUUUAAAGGACUUAGGAAGGCUAUCCACCUUGUUUCCUUUUCCUCGAUUUGGAUGUGGUCUGAUAGGAUUUUGGGUGACCAUCCGAAGGUCGUUUCCAUAUUAAUUAUAUAUCAAAUAUACAUAUAUAGACAUAAAAGUACUUCCAUAAUCAUAUGUACUAAACGCACUGUUAACAAGUUACCAUCGGGGUAACACAGAAUCAUACUAUUACAACUGCUAGAUCAAUGAGUCAGUUCAUUCAUGAGUCUAUACUAGGAAGAGAAUAUAUACAACUAUACUACGAGAACAUAUACAACUAUACUAGAACAAGAAACAUUUCAUCACAUAUGCAAGAAUACGAUAACAAAUGUGAUCCACUGUAUCGGAGCAUGCCUUAAAUGUCAUGGCCCGAGUUGUAGCCAGAAUUCUCUUGGAGGGAGAGCGUUGAGUUUGCGUAUAGAUCUAUACUGGAUUGACUAUCCUACACCUUGCUGCUAGCUACAGCCGGACCUGCAGGUCUGCGGGUGCCAAACGUCAUUCCGUUAUUACGACCGUUCUUUAUGUCGUUGUUAUCAGUCGAUAGUAUGGUGCAAUUAUCACAUUAUACCUUAAUAUAAAUCCGGUUUAAGGUAGUAGUAAUUAGUACAACAGUAGUUCUUAUUAUACAAAGCUACAGUACUACAAUGAUUUACCCAUUACAUAUUUUGGUGAUAAUCUCACUUAAGCAUUAAUGUACAAACUAUAUUUUAUCAAAUGAUAGUUAUACUUGGGUAAUUACACACUUUUACAACAGACGAGUUUACAAAACAGUUAAGCCUUGGUAGAAGGCUACUUUUAUAGAAAAUAUAGGAUUUUCUGAGAGAUUCAAACUUUUACAAACUUAUACAUUGAGACAGGUUCAAACGUUUUUGACAACGAACAUUGACACUAAAAUACUUAUGAACUCACCAGCUUAAUGCUGAUAAACUCUUUCAAAAUAACUUGUAUUCUCAGGUCAUCAGUAGACAGGUACCGAUGCCAGCUUUUGAGAUGAUGGAGCGUACUCAAGACUCAUCAUUUUAUUAUUUUGAUUUACGUUAUAUUUUUGGUGUCUAAAACUGUACAGAACACGCAUGUAUUAAAAUUAUAUAUUUAAUGCAAUGGAUGAUGUUGUUUGCCUAUUUACAUUUACUUUGUUAUGAUUACCUUACAUGACGUCCUCCGCCCCAGAACGUUUCCGCCGUUCUUGGUUUUAGGGUGUGACACCUAAUCAUUAAACUAAUACAAAACAUGAAUCUAUUGAUAAUUAUCUUAGAAAUUGGAUUAGCAUGAACAUUACCACACGAAAAACAGGUUUAUAAGUUGAAAAAAAGCUUAGGGUAAUGUUCCUAGUCCAAUUCCAGCCAAAACAGUCGAAGAUAUGCUGUUUGGGGGUCCAACUCGGCGAGUUGGAUGAUUUUUGCCUUGGACUCGGCGAGUCUGCUGUCCAGACAACAUACAAACUUCGAUUUUUAGCCAAUUUUGCAAGUAUAAGAAGAAAACAAGCCUAGGCUCUGAUACCACUAUUGGGUUUUGAGCUUUCUAACACUCCUAUGGUGUAUAUGUAACCCUAGAAACAUUGGAUCUAUGUUUUAUCUAUGAUACAUGAAAAAUUGAUUUUCCAAGGUUCUUAACCUAUCUAGAAUACAAGGGAACUUUUAAUCAUAAAAGAUAGUAAGAAAAACAUACCUUGUAGUGAUUUGGAUUCCUUGAAAACCUUGUGAGCCUAGCACCCCAAGUGUGAUGCCUCAAAUGUCUCACACAACACCAAAUGCACUUGGAAUAAACCUUGAGAGAAAUGUCACACUCUUGAAAUCGUUUAGCCCUCUUCUUACUUGCUUAAGUCUCCGAUUUUGGUGAACAUAUGGAUCCUUAUAUAGUGUGCUACAAUUAGGGUUACACCAUGUAAACUCUAAUUGUCAUGAUCUUUCAUUAACCCAUAGGUUCUAUAAACACCAUGGAGCAUCCUAUGGGUUUUAGUCUAACUUGAUAAUCCAUGGAGCAUUAGCCCACUAUACAAAUAUGGAUGAUUUACACAAUCAACCCAUAUAUUUAAUUAGUCUUCUUUUGAUCACUUAAUUAUUUCCAAAUUAAUUGUUGAUCAAUACUAAUUAAAUAAUCCUAUUAAUAUAUUAGAACUUAUAAUAUAUUAAUAAACCAUAAGUGUUAUUUCUCUUAUUUUAGUCUAUCCAAAUGCAUGAUGCCAUGCAACCCAAAUGAACCAUGUUGAUCGGGUCAAGUACCUCCCAGAAUAGUUAUGAACUUAGACACCUAAUCCAAUAGAUGGGUCCCAAUCAGUAGUGAUGAAGAAAGUGAACGGAAAGGUGGUAGUGGGAUAGUAUUCGGAGCCACGGCAGCGGCGCAACGACGGAACAGGAACGGAGAAGGAGAAGAAGAGCACGACAGAGAGGUGGCGGCAGUAAUCCGAGAAAUGUGACGGCGGUGCUCUUCAACGAGGUGGUGUGCGAUGGAGUGCUCGAACUCGACCGACAGUGAUGUCGCCCAUUCAAACCAUCACAACCCCGUUGUCCCAACAUCUUCGACUCAUUGAACUCCCUCUCGCCGGCAACAAACAUGGCGGGAGUCUGGUGGUCCUUAUG
rnacentral:lncRNA from 1 species